UUUUUCUUUUUCAUUUUCUACUUAUAAUUAGUAUUUUAGCAUAUUUUUUAAUCUAUAUAACUUAUGUUAAUCGUUUAAUUAUCAGAAUAUAGAAGAUGACAUUUUAUGUUCUUUAGGAUAUAAGUAUAUAUUUAAUUAAUUUUGAUGUUCAAUACAUAUCUUUCUAAACUAGUUAAUGUCAAGGUUUGUUACUCAAUAAAUGUUUGAUUGAUUUAUAUAAUUGAGGAUUUACUUAAUAUAAUUAUUUCUCUUACAAUAUUUAAUAGAAAUCUCUGGUUCAUAAUCACUCUAUGAUUGUAUAAACAAAAUACAAAGGGUAAAAAAAUACGUACUGCUGAAAAAUUGUCAUAUUUUCCUUUUUUCCUCUAUCUUUUAUGAGUAAUUUUCUUUCUUAUCUAUCAAAUGUACGGAACAAUUGAGUUCUGAUAUAGGUUAGUCUUUUGAAGGUUACACAUCUCUAACUUGUUUAUUUUGUCACUCUAUUCAUCUCUAUUUCCUCUUAUUUUCAAUUUUAUUCUUCCAUCACCAAUGAUUAUGAUAGGGUUUUUCGUCUUGUUUUGAUUAGAUUGAGAUGUUUGUUAGGAUUAUGAGGAUCUCAUAAUAAUAAAGUUGGUGCUAAUGUAACACUAGAAAAAUGGUUGGGUUGGUUUCCUUUAAUAGAUACGGUCUCAUUCGCAUUGUCUUGUUAUUAUUCUAUUUUCUUUUUUUCUUUUUCAUUUUCUUGUAAUUAUUCUUUUUUCUUCUUUUCUUUUUCAUUUUCUACUUAUAUUUAGUAUUUUAGCAUAUUUUUUAAGCUAUAUAACUUAUGUUAAUCGUUUAAUUAUCAGAAUAUAGAAGAUGACAUUUUAUGUUCUUUAGGAUAUAAGUAUAUAUUUAAUUAAUUUUGAUGUUCAAUACAUAUCUUUCUAAACUAGUUAAUGUCAAGGUUUGUUACUCAAUAAAUGUUUGAUUGAUUUAUAUAAUUGAGGAUUUACUUAAUAUAAUUAUUUCGCUUACAAUAUUUAAUAGAAAUCUCUGGUUCAUAAUCACUUUAUGAUUGUAUAAACAAAAUACAAAGGGUAAAAAAAUACGUACUGCUGAAAAAUUGUCAUAUUUUCCUUUUUUUUCUAUCUUUUAUGAGUAAUUUUCUUUCUUAUCUAUCAAAUGUACGGAACAAUUGAUUUCUGAUAUAGGUUAAUCUUUUGAAGGUUACACAUCUCUAACUUGUUUAUUUUGUCACUCUAUUCAUCUGUGUUUCCUCUUAUUUUCAAUUUUAUUCUUGCAUCACCAAUGAUUAUGAUAGGGUUUUUCGUAUUGUUUUGAUGAGAUUGAGAUGUUUGUUAGGAUUAUGAGGAUCUCACAAUAAUAAAGUUGGUGCUAAUGUAACACUAGAAAAAUGAUUGGGUUGGUUUCCUUUAAUACAUACGGUCUCAUUUUCAUUGUCUUGUAAUUAUUCUAUUUUCUUUUUUUCUUUUUCAUUUUCUUGUAAUUAUUCUUUUUUCUUUUUUUCUUUUUCAUUUUCUACUUAUAAUUAGUAUUUUAGCAUAUUUUUUAAUCUAUAUAACUUAUGUUAAUCGUUUAAUUAUCAGAAUAUAGAAGAUGACAUUUUAUGUUCUUUAGGAUAUAAGUAUAUAUUUAAUUAAUUUUGAUGUUCAAUACAUAUCUUUCUAAACUAGUUAAUGUCAAGGUUUGUUACUCAAUAAAUGUUUGAUUGAUUUAUAUAAUUGAGGAUUUACUUAAUAUAAUUAUUUCGCUUACAAUAUUUAAUAGAAAUCUCUGGUUCAUAAUCACUUUAUGAUUGUAUAAACAAAAUACAAAGGGUAAAAAAAUACGUACUGCUGAAAAAUUGUCAUAUUUUCCUUUUUUUUCUAUCUUUUAUGAGUAAUUUUCUUUCUUAUCUAUCAAAUGUACGGAACAAUUGAUUUCUGAUAUAGGUUAAUCUUUUGAAGGUUACACAUCUCUAACUUGUUUAUUUUGUCACUCUAUUCAUCUGUGUUUCCUCUUAUUUUCAAUUUUAUUCUUGCAUCACCAAUGAUUAUGAUAGGGUUUUUCGUAUUGUUUUGAUGAGAUUGAGAUGUUUGUUAGGAUUAUGAGGAUCUCACAAUAAUAAAGUUGGUGCUAAUGUAACACUAGAAAAAUGAUUGGGUUGGUUUCCUUUAAUACAUACGGUCUCAUUUUCAUUGUCUUGUAAUUAUUCUAUUUUCUUUUUUUCUUUUUCAUUUUCUUGUAAUUAUUCUUUUUUCUUUUUUUCUUUUUCAUUUUCUACUUAUAAUUAGUAUUUUAGCAUAUUUUUUAAGCUAUAUAACUUAUGUUAAUCGUUUAAUUAUCAGAAUAUAGAAGAUGACAUUUUAUGUUCUUUAGGAUAUAAGUAUAUAUUUAAUUAAUUUUGAUGUUCAAUACAUAUCUUUCUAAACUAGUUAAUGUCAAGGUUUGUUACUCAAUAAAUGUUUGAUUGAUUUAUAUAAUUGAGGAUUUACUUAAUAUAAUUAUUUCGCUUACAAUAUUUAAUAGAAAUCUCUGGUUCAUAAUCACUUUAUGAUUGUAUAAACAAAAUACAAAGGGUAAAAAAAUACGUACUGCUGAAAAAUUGUCAUAUUUUCCUUUUUUUUCUAUCUUUUAUGAGUAAUUUUCUUUCUUAUCUAUCAAAUGUACGGAACAAUUGAUUUCUGAUAUAGGUUAAUCUUUUGAAGGUUACACAUCUCUAACUUGUUUAUUUUGUCACUCUAUUCAUCUGUGUUUCCUCUUAUUUUCAAUUUUAUUCUUGCAUCACCAAUGAUUAUGAUAGGGUUUUUCGUAUUGUUUUGAUGAGAUUGAGAUGUUUGUUAGGAUUAUGAGGAUCUCACAAUAAUAAAGUUGGUGCUAAUGUAACACUAGAAAAAUGAUUGGGUUGGUUUCCUUUAAUACAUACGGUCUCAUUUUCAUUGUCUUGUAAUUAUUCUAUUUUCUUUUUUUCUUUUUCAUUUUCUUGUAAUUAUUCUUUUUUCUUUUUUUCUUUUUCAUUUUCUACUUAUAAUUAGUAUUUUAGCAUAUUUUUUAAGCUAUAUAACUUAUGUUAAUCGUUUAAUUAUCAGAAUAUAGAAGAUGACAUUUUAUGUUCUUUAGGAUAUAAGUAUAUAUUUAAUUAAUUUUGAUGUUCAAUACAUAUCUUUCUAAACUAGUUAAUGUCAAGGUUUGUUACUCAAUAAAUGUUUGAUUGAUUUAUAUAAUUGAGGAUUUACUUAAUAUAAUUAUUUCGCUUACAAUAUUUAAUAGAAAUCUCUGGUUCAUAAUCACUUUAUGAUUGUAUAAACAAAAUACAAAGGGUAAAAAAAUACGUACUACUGAAAAAUUGUCAUAUUUUCCUUUUUUCUUCUAUCUUUUAUGAGUAAUUUUCUUUCUUAUCUAUCAAAUGUACGGAACAAUUGAGUUCUGAUAUAGGUGAGUCUUUUGAAGGUUACACAUCUCUAACUUGUUUAUUUUGUCAUUCUAUUCAUCUGUAUUUCCUCUUAUUUUCAAUUUUAUUCUUGCAUCACCAAUGAUUAUGAUAGGGUUUUUCGUCUUGUUUUGAUUAGAUUGAGAAGUUUGUUAGGAUUAUGAGGAUCUCACAAUAAUAAAGUUGGUGCUAAUGUAACACUAGAUAAAUGGUUGGGUUGGUUUCCUUUAAUACAUACGGUCUCAUUCGCAUUGUCUUGUUAUUAUUCUAUUUUCUUUUUUUCUUUUUCAUUUUCUUGUAAUUAUUCUUUUUUCUUCUUUUCUUUUUCGUUUUCUACUUAUAUUUAGUAUUUUAGCAUAUUUUUUAAGCUAUAUAACUUAUGUUAAUCGUUUAAUUAUCAGAAUAUAGAAGAUGACAUUUUAUGUUCUUUAGGAUAUAAGUAUAUAUUUAAUU
rnacentral:lncRNA from 1 species